AACGUAGGUCACAAGCGUUGUCCGGAAUUACUGGGUGUAAAGGGAGCGCAGGCGGGAGAACAAGUUGGAAGUGAAAUCCAUGGGCUUAACCCAUGAACUGCUUUCAAAACUGUUUUUCUUGAGUAGUGCAGAGGUAGGCGGAAUUCCCGGUGUAGCGGUGGAAUGCGUAGAUAUCGGGAGGAACACCAGUGGCGAAGGCGGCCUACUGGGCACCAACUGACGCUGAGGCUCGAAAGUGUGGGUAGCAAACAGG
rnacentral:rRNA from 1 species